UCCUGGCUCAGGAUGAACGCUAGNUACAGGCUUAACACAUGCAAGUCGAGGGGAAACGAUAGAGAAAGCUUGCUUUUUCUAGGCGUCGACCGGCGCACGGGUGAGUAACGCGUAUCCAACCUGCCCAUCACUUGGGGAUAACCUUGCGAAAGUAAGACUAAUACCCAAUGAUAUCUCUAGAAGACAUCUGAAAGAGAUUAAAGAUUUAUCGGUGAUGGAUGGGGAUGCGUCUGAUUAGCUUGUUGGCGGGGUAACGGCCCACCAAGGCGACGAUCAGUAGGGGUUCUGAGAGGAAGGUCCCCCACAUUGGAACUGAGACACGGUCCAAACUCCUACGGGAGGCAGCAGUGAGGAAUAUUGGUCAAUGGACGAGAGUCUGAACCAGCCAAGUAGCGUGCAGGAUGACGGCCCUAUGGGUUGUAAACUGCUUUUAUAAGGGAAUAAAGUGAGUCUCGUGAGACUUUUUGCAUGUACCUUAUGAAUAAGGACCGGCUAAUUCCGUG
rnacentral:rRNA from 1 species